rnacentral:rRNA from 1 species
CCUACGGGUGGCUGCAGUGGGGAAUAUUGCGCAAUGGGCGAAAGCCUGACGCAGCGACGCCGCGUGAGGGAUGAAGGUCUUCGGAUCGUAAACCUCUGUCAGCAGGGAAGAACGGUCACUGUGCUAAUCAGCAGUGAAUUGACGGUACCUGCAAAGGAAGCACCGGCUAACUCCGUGCCAGCAGCCGCGGUAAUACGGAGGGUGCGAGCGUUAAUCGGAAUUACUGGGCGUAAAGCGCUCGUAGGCGGUAUGUCAAGUCAAGGGUGAAAUCCCCGCGCUCAACGUGGGAACUGCCUUUGAAACUGGCAAACUGGAGUGUGGGAGAGGGUAGUGGAAUUCCAGGUGUAGGAGUGAAAUGCGUAGAUAUCUGGAGGAACAUCAGUGGCGAAGGCGACUAUCUGGCACAUAACUGACGCUGAGGAGCGAAAGCGUGGGUAGCAAACAGGAUUAGAUACCCGGGUAGUC